GGCGGCCCCUUCCUGACGGGGCAUCUCUGUUUUGCAGGAAAACUCGCCUUUCCUGGGGUAUUGCUGCCUGUCCCCACCCUGGCGGGGACAGGAAAGCGGGCAGAAAGGAACAGGCGUCGGGACCUGCAGGCCUCCGGGGUCCAGCCAGACGUCACCACGGAGCCCGUGGAGGAGACAGCAUCCCUCUUCCCUCAGAGGGACCCGCCACCUGACACAUGGCUGCGGGAUGCAGACGCCUGAGCCAUCUCCGCGAGGCUGCGGGCAGCGGCCAGGCCCCCAAGGACCAGCUACAGGGUCAGGGGAGCCACCAGGACCUGCUGGAAUCCAGCUCCAGCAUGUGAGCUGGGCUGAAUCAUCUGGAGGGGCUGAGGGCAUUUCCCCAAACCUGAACAGGAUGCAUAAAGGAUUGCUGGCUGCCAGGCAGCUGAGGGCAUUUCAAUCUGCAUGUUACUGCCACCUGCUGGCCAAACACCUGGACAGCCAUGGGCAGUUCCCCCAUCUGACCAUGGACUCUGUGUACUAGCCCUGUCCUUUGAUGUAUAUCUGCCUCCCUUUAGGGCAAAGUGUGUUAAUAAAUAGCAAGGGGUCCUGAGACAAGGAGCACUUAGUUCCUCUAGCUAAGUCCUCUCUGAUCCCCCAAAUGCCUUUCAAAAUCAUGUUUCGUCUCCGGAUACUUGAUUAAUUUACACACAGCUCCUUCUCCAAAUUCCUGAACCCUGCUAGCUGCUGGAUUAAGACCACCAGCAGGGACCCACUGUUACAGUAAUAAGUUUAGUGAGUAUAAGAUAGUAUAAUCAAAUUUCAUUUCUUUAUUAGAGU